UGCCAGCCGCCGCGGUAAUACGGAGGGUGCGAGCGUUAAUCGGAAUCACUGGGCGUAAAGCGUACGUAGGUGGCAAGGUCAGUCAGGCGUGAAAGCCCUGGGCUCAACCUGGGAAUGGCAUUCGAUACUGCGUAGCUAGAGUCUGACAGAGGGAUGUGGAAUUCCGGGUGUAGCGGUGAAAUGCGUAGAGAUCCGGAGGAACACCAGUGGCGAAGGCGGCAUCCUGGGUCAAGACUGACGCUGAGGCUCGAAAGCGUGGGGAGCAAACAGGAUUAGAUA
rnacentral:rRNA from 1 species